CUACGGGACGCUCCAGUGGGGAAUAUUGGGCAAUGGGCGAAAGCCUGACCCAGCAACGCCGCGUGAAGGAUGAAGGCCCUCGGGUUGUAAACUUCUUUGAUGAGGGAAGAUAAUGACGGUACCUCAAAAACAAGCCACGGCUAACUACGUGCCAGCAGCCGCGGUAAUACGUAGGUGGCAAGCGUUAUCCGGAUUUACUGGGUGUAAAGGGCGUGUAGGCGGGAUGGCAAGUCAGAUGUGAAAUUCCGAGGCUUAACCUCGGCGCUGCAUCUGAAACUGCUAUUCUUGAGUGUCGGAGAGGAAAGUGGAAUUCCUAGUGUAGCGGUGAAAUGCGUAGAGAUUAGGAGGAACACCAGUGGCGAAGGCGGCUUUCUGGACGAUAACUGACGCUGAGGCGCGAAAGCGUGGGGAGCAAACAGGAUUAGAUACCCCCGUAGUC
rnacentral:rRNA from 1 species